UACGGAGGGGGCAAGCGUUAUUCGGAUUUACUGGGCGUAAAGGGUGUGUAGGCGGUCGUGCAAGUCUGGUGUGAAAUCUUCACCACUCAACGGGAAGAGGUCACUGGAAACUGCAUGACUUGAGUUUGGUAGAGGCUAGCGGAAUUCCUGGUGUAGCGGUGGAAUGUGUAGAUAUCAGGAAGAACACCUGUGGCGAAGGCGGCUAGCUGGGCCAAUACUGACGCUGAGACACGAAAGCGUGGGGAGCAAACAGG
rnacentral:rRNA from 1 species